rfam:Populus trichocarpa scaffold_5_contig_132, whole genome shotgun sequence.
CAAUUUGUUUGAGGGAAGAUACUUAUUUAAUUAUGAUAUACUCACACCUGACUAUUGAGAAUCUCACAAUUCAUAAAAUUAUGCCUUUUUGUGUGAAAA